rnacentral:tRNA from 1 species
GCCGGGGUGGCGAAAUGGCAGACGCAGCGGGCUUAAACCCCGCAGAGGGCAACCUCGUGAGGGUUCGACCCCCUCCCCCGGUACCA